UUCCAGACAGGGAGAGCUAUUGUCUCUGAGGACUCGUGGAGAAAGCAUUGCACUCUGAGGAUUCAUGGAGCCAGGAUCACCCUUUCAGUUUGAGGCAGAGAGAUCCAGCUAUCCACUACAAAGCACACUGGGUGGUCACUCUAAGGAGAAACGAAACCUGAAGCACAAGUUUCUAUACUGCAAAAGGAUAGAUGCAUAGACCGACACUUGGAUGUUUGCAAGAAUGGGAGGAUGGCCCUCAGGUAUCCUCAACCUCCUGAACCUGCCUGGAUGGUUGGGCAUCAGCCAUGGCCACUGUCCUUGAACUCCAAGUCUCUAAAUGGGGACCAUCAUCAGCGUCAUCUACUAGCCAGUUGUUUUGU